rnacentral:rRNA from 1 species
UACAGAGGGUGCAAGCGUUGUUCGGAAUUAUUGGGCGUAAAGCGCGUGUAGGCGGCAUUGCAAGUCGGGUGUGAAAGCCCUCAGCUACAACUGAGGAAGUGCGCCCGAAACUGCAGUGCUUGAGUACCGGAGAGGGUGGCGGAUUCCCAAGUAGAGGUGAAAUUCGUAGAUAUGGGAGGAACGCCGGUGGCGAAGGCGGCCACCUGGACGGAUGACUGACGCUGGAGAACGCGAAAGCGUGGGUAGCAAACAGG